UCCUACGGGGGGCAGCAGUAGGGAAUCUUCCACAAUGGGCGAAAGCCUGAUGGAGCAACGCCGCGUGAGUGAAGAAGGGUUUCGGCUCGUAAGCUCUGUUGGUAGUGAAGAAAGAUAGAGGUAGUAACUGGCCUUUAUUUGACGGUAAUUACUUAGAAAGUCACGGCUAACUACGUGCCAGCAGCCGCGGUAAUACGUAGGUGGCAAGCGUUGUCCGGAUUUAUUGGGCGUAAAGCGAGUGCAGGCGGUUCAAUAAGUCUGAUGUGAAAGCCUUCGGCUCCACCGGAGAAUU
rnacentral:rRNA from 1 species